CGGCGGUGAGGCCUCCAAAGCUGGGUUCCCAGGCGCACUUGGGACUGACGGGAGUGGAGACGCGGCCCAGCGCAGGGUCAGCCCGGGAGCCGGCACGCGCGCCCGCGGAGUUCGCUCGUCCUCCGCCGCACGCCGGGACCCAAACAACUGAUGAUUUUACAGAAGAAACUUCACUUGGAUAUAGAGAGAUCAAUAAAGGCUAAUACCUAGUCCCUAAAGUAUCCUUGUGACCAUGGUCACAGACUGCCUCUGAGCCUCAUUGGAACUGAAAGGGAUGACCUGUGAUCUGUAAGCACCAGUAAGAACAAAACACAAGGGACAAACUGUGCACUAACUUCAGCAGCAGGCCUACUUCACCGCAGCACAUGGACAUUUAUGAGAAUACUCUGCCUUCAUGGCUGUGGAACUUGCACUUGGUUAAUUUGAGCAGCAGUGAUUAGUGAAUUGACAAGUGACAUAAGCAGAGAUAGAGUCCCUUUCUGGCUUUGAUACUGUGGAUGCUCAGGGUUGGUGUUUCUCCUGUGGUCGCUAAGCAGGAUCUGCUGGCAGGUAUGUUCUCUACCACAUAAAGAAGGCAUCUCUGCAGAGCAGCAGGAAAUGACAUUAAGGGGCCUGGGGGGCUCCAUCGGUUAAACAUCCGCC